UGGGAACGUACCCUUCGGUUCGGAAUAACCCGGGGAAACUCGGGCUAAUACCGGAUACGUCCUGCCCCUUAAACAAGGGUGGAAGAAAGAUUUAUCGCCGAAGGAUCGGCCCGCGUCGGAUUAGCUAGUUGGUGAGGUAACGGCUCACCAAGGCGAUGAUCCGUAGCUGGUCUGAGAGGACGAUCAGCCACACUGGGACUGAGACACGGCCCAGACUCCUACGGGAGGCAG
rnacentral:rRNA from 1 species